AUUGCUAAACCCCUCAAUUGGGAGUUGUUUUGUGAGAAAAGACCUUGUGCAGAUGAAGAGAUAGUUCAUGAAUUUUAUGUGAAUUUGACCUCAAGCUAAUUAACGGAAGUUGCUGUUUGAGGAAUCAAGCAAUGAGUUGAAUUAAGCGAGGAUCCCGAAGAAGAAGAAGAAGAUCCCGCAGAGAUCAAACCAAUGCAGUCAGCUAAAAUCCCUGAUAAGGCAGAGCCAAUUGAACCAAUAACCGAACCUAACAUGGCAACCUCAACAUUCAGAACUCAAUCGCCUCACCUAGAUCUUCGUGAUGAAUUGUCAAAGUUGAUGGACCUAAUGCAAAGUAUGUAGUGGCAGCAACAAGCUUACUGGAUAUUUUCAAAAAUAUGAGAUGACUUAAUGAGAAGCGCUUUUAUGAAAAUA